UACAGAGGGUGCAAGCGUUAAUCGGAAUUACUGGGCGUAAGCGUGCGUAGACGGUUAUUUAAGUCAGGUGUGAAAGCCCCGGGCUCAACCUGGGAAUUGCAUUUGAGACUGAAUAGCUAGGGUGCGGAAGAGGGAAGCGGAAUUUCCGGUGUAGCGGUGAAAUGCGUAGAUAUCGGAAGGAACACCAGUGGCGAAAGCGGCUUCCUGGUCCAGCACCGACGUUCAGGCACGAAAGCGUGGGGAGCAAACAGG
rnacentral:rRNA from 1 species